rnacentral:misc_RNA from 1 species
UUUCCGUAGGUGAACCUGCGGAAGGAUCAUUAUCAAAACAGCGGACUUCGGUCCUUGCUGCACCCUUGUCUUUUGCGUACCGUAUGUUUCCUCGGCAGGCUUGCCUGCCGAGUGAAACCAUUUAUAACCUUUUUAAUUUUCAAUCAGCGUCUGAAAAAAUUAAUAAUUACAACUUUCAACAACGGAUCUCUUGGUUCUGGCAUCGAUGAAGAACGCAGC